rnacentral:tRNA from 1 species
GGCUUCGUAGCUCAGUCGGUAGAGCAAAGGACUGAAAAUCCUUGUGUCACUGGUUCGAUUCCAGUCGAAGCCACCA